rnacentral:rRNA from 1 species
CGGGUAUGAACGAUUUAUCGUUCUAAGUGAGUGACGUCACACUGCCAAGAAAAGCUUCUAGUUAGAAUCAGACCGCCCGUACCGCAAACCGACACAGGUAGUCGGGUCGAGAAGACCAAGGUGAGCGAGAGAACUUUCGUUAAGGAACUCGGCAAAAUGACCCCGUAACUUCGGGAGAAGGGGUGCUGAUCGCAAGAUCAGCCGCAGUGAAUAGGCCCAGGCGACUGUUUAUCAAAAACACAGGUUUCUGCAAAAUCGUAAGAUGAAGUAUAGGGGCUGACGCCUGCCCGGUGCUGGAAGGUUAAGAGGAUGGGUUAGCGCAAGCGAAGCUCAGAAUUGAAGCCCCAGUAAACGGCGGCCGUAACAAUAACGGUCCUAAGGUAGCGAAAUUCCUUGUCGGGUAAGUUCCGACCCGCACGAAAGGCGUAACGAUCUGGGCACUGUCUCAACGAGAGACUCGGUGAAAUUAUAAUACCCGUGAAGAUGCGGGUUACCCGCGACAGGACGGAAAGACCCCAUGGAGCUUUACUGUAGCUUGAUAUUGGGUGUUUGUACAACUUGUACAGGAUAGGUAGGAGCCGUAGAAGUCGGGACGCUAGUUUCGACGGAGGCAUCGGUGGGAUACUACCCUCGUUGUAUGAACACUCUAACCCACGCCGGCAAUCACGGCGGGAGACAGUGUCAGGUGGGCAGUUUGACUGGGGCGGUCGCCUCCUAAAAGGUAACGGAGGCGCCCAAAGGUUCCCUCAGAAUGGUUGGAAAUCAUUCGCAGAGCGUAAAGGCAUAAGGGAGCUUGACUGCGAGACCUACAAGUCGAGCAGGGACGAAAGUCGGGCUUAGUGAUCCGGUGGUUCCGCAUGGAAGGGCCAUCGCUCAACGGAUAAAAGCUACCCUGGGGAUAACAGGCUUAUCUCCCCCAAGAGUCCACAUCGACGGGGAGGUUUGGCACCUCGAUGUCGGCUCAUCGCAUCCUGGGGCUGUAGUCGGUCCCAAGGGUUGGGCCGUUCGCCCAUUAAAGCGGUACGCGAGCUGGGUUCAGAACGUCGUGAGACAGUUCGGUCCCUAUCCGUCGCGGGCGCAGGAAAUUUGAGAGGAUCUGUCCUUAGUACGAGAGGACCGGGAUGGACAUACCGCUGGUGUACCAGUUGUUCUGCCAAGGGCAUCGCUGGGUAGCUAUGUAUGGAUGAGAUAAACGCUGAAAGCAUCUAAGUGCGAAACUCACCUCGAGAUAAGAUUUCCCACU